rnacentral:misc_RNA from 1 species
AACGCACCUUGCACCCUUUGGUAUUCCGAAGGGUACGCCCGUUUGAGUGUCAUUGUAUUCUCACCACUUCACAUUUUUUUUUGUGUGGAGACGGUGGACUUGGACGCCUGUUGUGCUUGUCACGACUCGUCCCAAAUGCAGGAGUGUGACCCCCCUUUGUCGGUGUCAUCCGGUGUGAUAAGCAUCUUCACUGGAGUAUCUUUGGAGGACCGUGUCCCUUGAAGAGCAUCGUUGGGGUGUGGUGUAUGCUGCCAACCGUCCGAAAGGACGACCUUUUGACGAUUUGACCUCAAGUCGGGUGGGACUACCCGCUGAACUUAA